AUUGAACGCUGGCGGCAUGCCUUACACAUGCAAGUCGAACGGCAGCGGGGGAGAAGCUUGCUUUUCCUGCCGGCGAGUGGCGAACGGGUGAGUAAUACAUCGGAACGUGCCCUGUAGUGGGGGAUAACGAGUUGAAAGAUUAGCUAAUACCGCAUACGACCUGAGGGUGAAAGUGGGGGACCGCAAGGCCUCAUGCUAUAGGAGCGGCCGAGGUCUGAUUAGCUAGUUGGUGGGGUAAAGGCCUACCAAGGCGACGAUCAGUAGCUGGUCUGAGAGGACGAUCAGCCACACUGGGACUGAGACACGGCCCAGACUCCUACGGGAGGCAGCAGUGGGGAAUUUUGGACAAUGGGCGAAAGCCUGAUCCAGCAAUGCCGCGUGUGUGAAGAAGGCCUUCGGGUUGUAAAGCUCUUUAGCGUGGGAAGAAGGUAGAUAUGGUGAAUAAUCAUGUUUGCUGACGGUACCACGAGAAUAAGCACCGGCUAAUUUCGUGCCAGCCGCCGCGGUAACAC
rnacentral:rRNA from 1 species